rnacentral:tRNA from 1 species
GCCUUCGUGGUGUAGUGGUCAGCACGCUGGGCGCAUAUUCCAGAGCCUCGUGGUUCGAGUCCCGGCGAAGGCG